UUUUCUAUCGAUGAUUCAUUUAUUUUAGAAUCAUAUCUAUUCUCAUUUCAGAAUAAACAUUCUUUAUCCAUUCAACAUUUCAAACUGUACAUAAAUGCCAAUUACAUUUGACAAAACUAUCAAUCAUAGAUUUAUACCAUUUCUAAUUCAAGAAAAUGUAUUCAUUUUGCACAUCGUAAUUCAAUCUUUAUCAUCCGUAUAGCAAGUAAUAUUGCCUAACAUCAUUAACCUGCAAAAAGUUUGUAUUUGCAAGAUUGAGCUCAACAGCCCAACAAAUUUAACAGUCUAUCAUGUUUCACAUAUCACACAAUUCUAUAUGCACUAUAUUUCCUUUAUUAUGCAUAUCUGCAUACAACAUAUAUUCUUUACUAUGCAUAGCCUACAUGCAACAAUAAUUCCUUACAAAGCAUACAUUCAUGCAUUAUACAUUUCUAAUUUAUCGAGUUACUUCAUACAACAUGUGCUAUCACAUAUAAAUUGAGUUCCAUAACCCAAUUAACUUAGUCAUAUUUUGACUUUAACCAUUCAUAAAGCAUGGUAUGAAGCUCACCACAUAAUCACAUUUAAUCCACAAACAUAAUAGAACUAAAAAACUUGCCUUGAUUGGAGAUUACCACAAAAGUUAACCUAGAGCUUCUCCACAAUUCCUAUAGAAUUAUAUUUACAUGUACACACGUAUUAGAUAAUUGAAUAUGUUACAAAACAUGCAUGUAUAUUCAUCAAUAAUAAUUAUUAGUUUUAUACAAACUAAUAUUAUUUAUUCCUACUCAAAACGAAUAUUAGUUUAUUUAGAAACUUAAUUCGUUUUAACCUUUUUACACCAAAUAAAGGUCCCUCACAUUUUAGUAUGUAAACAUUUUACACUUUGAAGCUUCAAUAAUUUAUAUUCCUCUUUAAGAAUAUCUUAUGACUUUACUCAUUAAUUCGGGACUUAAACAGCUAAUAAAUAGCUUUUAUAGUAAAUAAUUUAAAUAAUUUUUAUAUUAUUAUUUUGCCAACUCACGAGUCAACUUGGACCAUUGUCUCAUUUAUAAACAUUCUAUCCCGCUAAAACACUUGCUGUAUUUUUCGUUUUGCAAAUAUUCACAUUUUCACUAUAUAUAUUUAUAUAUUAAGUAUAUACAUCUUGGCUCAAAAACUCCAUUUUGAUCCCUCAAAUCUUCAUUGCAUCACUUUUAUGAUUAUUACAACUUUUUAAUGGUUCCAUAUUUUUCGUUUCGUUAUAAAACCAUUUUUCAUGUCAAUUCCGGCUUACAUUCGCUUAAAUAUGCAAAUUCAUAUUUAUAUAUAUAAUAUUUUUAUUGCAUUAUUUAUGUCCGAAAGGAAGUUUCAUAACGUAAAAUAUCACACAGUCAAAUCUCUUCUCUUGGAACUUUAUUAGAUAUAAUAUUGUUUUAAAUUUAGUCCAAACACACUUUGGAACGACGAAUGUCAAAACAGCUCAUUAUGACUACAUUCGGCGUCGCCCAAAUUGUAGUUCUGACAUGCAUGUUCACCUAUUUUUAAUUCUUAAACCAUUAAUCGAAUCGUGGCGAUUUUCUAGUAUGUUAUAGACCUUAUGACAUAGUACAUUUAAAAAUUUUCUAAACGCGAAAACAAGUUACAAACAUUGAUCAAAACAGCGCUCAAAAAGCCCGCCAAGCGACUGCACCAGCAGCACGGCGCGGCGUGCGCGCGCGGUGCGGCUGGCACAGCGCUGGCUGCUGCCUUGCAUAACGAAUGAGCCACUUUGCGAUUUUCUCACGCCUUGCUCGCUUAUCAGAAAAUUCCCAAAUUUCAGUAUGUUUUUCGUAUCAUAUGAGACUAUUUUUAAAAAAUAUGAAACCCUCAUUUCGGGUUCAUUAGGCAGCCCAAAUAGAGCGCCAAAAGUGUACAUUCAUAACAGUUUUUUCACUUUCAUUUCGGCUUUACCCUCUCUCGCUAAAACUGUCAUAACUUUUUCGUUUCAAAAUAUUUUUGAGCGAUUCUUGAGCCCACGCGAAGCUAACUUCUGGGACUAAAACUUCUCUUCAGAUCACAAAUCCAAUUUCUAAACCGAACAGAACAGAAAUCUGUUCUAAGUGGACAGAAUGUUCUAUUUUUAGACUGCACGACCCUCCUUCCCUAAAAUGGUCAAAACUCUUUUCUCUGAAGUCGGAAUUAGUCCGUUUUGGAGUCUAUGGAAAGCUUAUUCAGUGUACUAUAACAUACCGAAAGCCCAGAAUUUUCUGGAAACAUUAACUGAUUGAAACAGUGUCCCGAAUAGCACGUCCCACUGCUGACUUCCAGUUUGACAAAUUCGACACAUUUCCUUCCAAUCAUCAUAACUCCCUCAUCCGAGGUCAGAAUGAGGUCAUUCCAAAGCCUAUGGCUUCCUAACUCAGUGCACUACAACUACCCAGAAACUCAGAAUUUUUCAGGCAACAUAGCUAUUCCAGAAUUUGACACUAUAGUCACUGUUCAUCCAAUUUUUCUUAGUUUUUAACAUGUUUUACCAAAACAUUCACUAUAAAUUCGUUUGAGCUCAUUUUUACUUCGUUCCAAUUGGGUUAUUUUCAUAGCUCAUAGGAGUAUAACAUACUACUACAGAACUUAAAUUUCAGACAUGAAUCAAAACCACAAAAGUUCCAAAACAGUCCAUAGUUAGUCCAUAAUAGUCCAUUUUAACUUCCUUAUAUCACCACACAACCAACUUAUAUUAUUUUACAGUAAGAAGGGAGUAUAUCAUUGCAUUAAAGGAAUGCUUGAAUGGUCUAUAAUAAAAUGUCUUCAACUUAAUAAAUCUCUCUACAACUUUCCUAGCUAAGCCUGCCUUUCCACAGGUACAUAUAAGUAUGUUAAAGAUAUAUGUUGUAGUUGGGAAUCCUUUCUCAAUCAUUUCAUUAAUUAAUCUCAUCAUUACAUUUUAUCAAACAAGUGGUGCGCAAAGUUUUAAAAACUCAAAUUUCAUGUUACUUUUAAUAUGUUAACAUCCGAUCUCCAUACUAAUCCAUCUUUAUAACUCCUUAAUCCAUUUGAUUCUCAAUCAAACAUACUCCCACAAUCCAAACAUGCAAUUACAAGAAAUUAGAUAUAAACCAAUUUCUUUAACUUUAAAGGUUAAGAAUAUUUUUACCUUUAGCUUGGUGCUUUACUAUUUUCCCAACUAGAACCUUUCUUUUCUUACUUGCCUUCAAUUGGUUUGCCUUGAAACGGAGAAGAUAAUAGAGCAAUUUCUUUGCUUCUUUCUUUCUGGAACGGAUGGAAAGAGGAUGGGUCUGGUAUGUUCUUUGUUUAACAAGCCCCUUGUUUUUUUUUUUUGAACACCACCUGUAAAGUUUUAGGUUCCUUUUUUAUUUUAUUUUUUACUGUAUGCCUUAUAU
rnacentral:lncRNA from 1 species